AGGAUACGCAAUCGUUGGAGGAGCCUGUACAAGUAAAGGUAUUUUGGUUCAAGACAAACCAAAGACCUACGAGGGAGUAUUAACCACUGUACACGAACUGCUUCACUCGUUGGGAUGUGUUCACGAUGGUGAAAGGGCGCCUUCAAAGCUUCAAAGCAGCCCUGGUGCUGAGUCGUGUUCCAGCGAAGGAGCCUACAUUAUGGCUCCAGACAUUACUUCACACCGAGAGCUAAGCAUUUCAUCAUGUACCCACGCACAAGUUCUGGCUUUCCUAAGAAGCACACAAGGAAGUUGCCUGCACAGCAAGAUAAGACGCCACCGGCGGAAGAUUCUUGAAAGUAAGAUAAGAUCUGCUCUACUGAACACUCGAACAUUCUGUCAGGGAUUCGUACAAGCUGGAGAGGACAUC